UCAUAUUUCCAAAAGAGAGUUUCAAGAUACCAUUUCUACAAUUUAUCAACGCAUUUGAAGUAGCAAGAAAGGGACGUCCUAAAAUGACAGGUAUUUGUGCAUUUGAAUUUAAAAUAGGAUGUGUGUCCAAAAUCAUAAAAUCAACAGGAUAAUAGAAUUUAUCAAUUUGAACUAGAACAUCCUCUACAACCCCUCUUGGAAUUUUUACUGAACGAUCAGCAAGUUGAAGUGUUGUUGUUGUUGGCAUAAGCUCUCCCAAACCAAGUUGCUCAUACACAGAAAAAGGUAAUAGAUUAACACUAGCACCAAGAUCAAGCAAAGCACGCUCUAUCCUAUUAUUCCCAAUCAUACAAGAAAUUGUUGGACAACCAGGAUCUUUGAAUUUAGGUGGAGUGUUUUGUUGAAUGAUUGAGCUCACAUUCUCUGUCAAAAAUGCUUUCUGUUGAACAUUAAGUUUCCUCUUGACAGUGCACAAGUCUUUUAAAAAUUUUGCAUAUGAAGGAACUUGUUUGAUUGCAUCCAAUAAUGGUAUGUUAAUUUUGACUUGUUUGAAAAGUUCAAAAAUUUCAGAAUUAUGGUUAAGUUUUGAAAUUGGUUCCAAUCAUUGAGGAAAUGGAGCUGGAAUGGGACAUUUUUCAACAAUAGGUUCAGAAAUGAUCUUUUCCUCACUUU
rnacentral:lncRNA from 1 species